rnacentral:rRNA from 1 species
AGCGAACGCUGGCGGCAGGCUUAACACAUGCAAGUCGAGCGGGCACUUUCGGGUGUCAGCGGCGGACGGGUGAGUAACGCGGGGGAACGUGCCCUCUGGUUCGGAAUAACUCAGGGAAACUUGAGCUAAUACCGGAUACGCCCUUUUGGGGAAAGGCUUGCUGCCGGAGGAUCGGCCCGCGUCUGAUUAGCUAGUUGGUGAGGUAACGGCUCACCAAGGCGACGAUCAGUAGCUGGUCUGAGAGGAUGAUCAGCCACACUGGGACUGAGACACGGCCCAGACUCCUACGGGAGGCAGCAGUGGGGAAUAUUGGGCAAUGGGCGCAAGCCUGAUCCAGCCAUGCCGCGUGAGUGAUCAAGGCCUUAGGGUUGUAAAGCUCUUUUAUCCGGGACGAUAAUGACGGUACCGGAGGAAUAAGCCCCGGCUAACUUCGUG